rnacentral:rRNA from 1 species
AUUGAACGCUGGCGGCAGGCCUAACACAUGCAAGUCGAACGGUAACAGGAAGAAGCUUGCUUCUUUGCUGACGAGUGGCGGACGGGUGAGUAAUGUCUGGGAAACUGCCUGAUGGAGGGGGAUAACUACUGGAAACGGUAGCUAAUACCGCAUAACGUCGCAAGACCAAAGAGGGGGACCUUCGGGCCUCUUGCCUUCGGAUGUGCCCAGAUGGGAUUAGCUAGUAGGUGGGGUAACGGCUCACCUAGGCGACGAUCCCUAGCUGGUCUGAGAGGAUGACCAGCCACACUGGAACUGAGACACGGUCCAGACUCCUACGGGAGGCAGCAGUGGGGAAUAUUGCACAAUGGGCGCAAGCCUGAUGCAGCCAUGCCGCGUGUAUGAAGAAGGACUUCGGGUUGUAAAGUACUUUCAGCGGGGAGGAAGGGAGUAAAGUUAAUACCUUUGCUCAUUGACGUUACCCGCAGAAGAAGCACCGGCUAACUCCGUG